rnacentral:rRNA from 1 species
UAAGGAAUAUUGGACAAUGGAGGCAACUCUGAUCCAGCCAUGCCGCGUGAAGGAUGAAGGCCCUACGGGUUGUAAACUUCUUUUCUCUUAGAAAAAACUACUGGUUUCGUACCGGUACUGAUUGUACAAGAGGAAUAAGCAUCGGCUAACUUCGUGCCAGCAGCCGCGGUAAUACGAAGGAUGCAAGCGUUAUCCGGAUUCACUGGGUUUAAAGGGUGUGCAGGUGGGGUAAUAAGUCAGUGGUGAAAGCCCCCGACUCAAUCGGGGAACUGCCAUAGAUACUGUUAUUCUUGAGUGUAGUUGAGGCGGAUGGAAUAUGACAUGUAGCGGUGAAAUGCUUAGAUAUGUCAUAGAACACCGAUCGCGAAGGCAGUCCGCCAAACUAUUACUGACACUGAAACACGAAAGUGCGGGGAUCAAACAGG